GUGAUGAACGAGAGCAUAUUUGCCUAAUGUCUCCCCCUGCUGUCUGGAGGAAUGACUAGCCCAAAUCUGAGAUCAGCUGCGAGAUGCAAUUUAAUCGUACAACACCAGAAUUACAACUGUCAUGCACUUGAUGGGUUGAAUGGCCUCAUUUUUGACACAAGAACACUGAACAGCUACCUGGGGGCUCUAUGCCAAGUGUAACUGUUAAUUGGAAUUAUCAUUGGCAAGCAAAAACUGCCCAACUAUGCCAGCCUUUGGAGAAAAUAACGGAUCAGACAAUGUGCAAAAAUGGGGAUAGAAACAAAAAGGGAAGAGGAGGUAUAGCAAUGGGACCAAAAUUUUCAAAGUCAAAACCAGAACUCAAAGGUCUUGAGAAGGUAGGGCUCCAUGAUGAUUGACAUUUUGAACAACCAACAGCAGGAGUCUGGGGAAAAGGGCAGUUGAAGGAAAAUAGUUGCGGUGACAGCUUUAUUAUAUGACCGUUUAUGCCAAUUAUCAAAAGAAUAAACUGUUUAUUUCCAAACUGGC